rnacentral:rRNA from 1 species
GGGGCGUGCGCCUUGUGAUUGUGUGUGCCCCGUGGUUUUCUUUGAAACAAACUUGCUUUGGCGGUGGGCCCAGCCUGCCGCCAGAGGUCUAAACUUACAACCAAUUUUUUAUCAACUUGUCACACCAGAUUAUUACUAAUAGUCAAAACUUUCAACAACGGAUCUCUUGGUUCUCGCAUCGAUGAAGAACGCAGCGAAAUGCGAUACGUAAUAUGAAUUGCAGAUAUUCGUGAAUCAUCGAAUCUUUGAACGCACAUUGCGCCCUCUGGUAUUCCGGAGGGCAUGCCUGUUUGAGCGUCGUUUCUCCCUCAAACCGCUGGGUUUGGUGUUGAGCAAUACGACUUGGGUUUGCUUGAAAGACGGUAGUGGUAAGGCGGGAUCGCUUUGACAAUGGCUUAGGUCUAACCAAAAACAUUGCUUGCGGCGGUAACGUCUACCACGUAUAUCUUCAAACUUUGACCUCAAAUCAGGUAGGACUACCCGCUGAACUUAAGCAUAUCAAAAGCCGGAGGAA